GAUGAAGAACGCAGCGAAAUGCGAUAAGUAGUGUGAAUUGCAGAAUUCAGUGAAUCAUCGAAUCUUUGAACGCACAUUGCGCCCCUCGGUAUUCCGUGGGGCAUGCCUGUUCGAGCGUCAUUUACACCCUCAAGCUCUGCUUGGUGUUGGGCGUCUGUCCCGCCUCCGUGCGCGGACUCGCCUCAAAGUCAUUGGCAGCGGUCUCGUCGGCUUCUCGCGCAGCACAUUUGCGCUUCUCGGAGCCCCGGCGGAUCAGCGUCCAGCAAGCAAUUUACCGUCUUUGACCUCGGAUCAGGUAGGGAUACCCGCUGAACUUAAGCAUAUCAAUAAGCGGAGGA
rnacentral:misc_RNA from 1 species